rnacentral:rRNA from 1 species
GACGAACGCUGGCGGCGUGCUUAACACAUGUAAGUCGAACGGAAAGGCCCUGCUUUUGUUGGGUGCUCGAGUGGCGAACGGGUGUGUAACACGUGAGUAACCUGCCCUUGACUUUGGGAUAACUUCAGGAAACUGGGGCUAAUACCGGAUAGGAGCUCCUGCUUCUUGGUGUUGGUUGGUAAGUUUCGGCGGUUGGGGAUGUUCUCGCGGCUUAUCAGCUUGUUUGUGGGGUAGUGGCUUACCAAGGCUUUGAAGGGUAGCCGGCAUGAGAGGGUGACCGGCCAAAUUGGGACUGAGAUACGGCCCAGACUCCUACGGGAGGCAGCAGUGGGGAAUAUUGCACAAUGGGCGGAAGCCUGAUGCAGAAACGCCGCGUGCGGGAUGACGGCCUUCGGGUUGUAAACCGCUUUAGCCUGUGACGAAGCGUGAGUGACGGUAAUGGGUAAAGAAGCACCGGCUAACUACGUG